CACCGUAUAAAUUAUAUGAUUUUAUAAUGAGUAUCUAUGAAAUAUUUGCCUGAAGAGUCCAAAGAUGGCUUGAAACGCGCCAGCAAAAAAUGUGGCCGUGAAGACAAUUUUUCGGUAAGCAAUUGGGUCGGUGACAGGAUCUUGAAGGUCACGGACCAUGGACGAAAGCAGAAGCGAAACUACAGCCACAGGACCAAUGGCUAACUCUCUCGAACUUCCCAUCAUGGAAUAUAUUAGAGGUGGUACCACACUUGUAUCUGGUAUAUAUAUUUUUAAAUCGAAUUUAAUUAUGCAAAUUUUUUUAAAAGAAACUAUGCAAGUUUGAGUUGAAAAUUUGGACUUACAUAGACCGUACUCUGGAUCAAGUCCAGCCAAGUUAGCAUAUCCUAUACUCUGCACAUAAAAUUGAAAAUGUAUGGAAGAAAUCAUCACUGAGGAUAUUGACAAUAGAAUUUGCGAGUUAAAUUACCUGAGGAAUGCAAAGACUAGCGAGAGUAAGACCAGCCAUCAAAUCUUUCUUGAACAUGUUGAGUUUGUAUUGUCUUCCCCAUAUAAGUAUAGGGAAAACCGAUUUAAGAUAAGAGUAAACCUGGUUUGAUGGUUUCUUCUUCAUCUUGUUCCUCUUCUUGGACAACACAUUUGUUCUUAUGUACCCAACAAACUCUUGCCACAUGGUUGGUGGCUCCGGCAUAUUUAUCAGCCACUGGGACAACGGCUCUUCUGCGGGGGCGGCUUCCGCCUGGUGGCUCUGCAUCUCUAUGCUCAUUUUGGUUAUCGUUGUGGGUCUCUGAAGUGUGUGAUAGAGAACUAACUUUGUUUUCCAUAUAUAUAGGCAUAUAUAUAAACAAAUUUAUUCAAACAUAUAGUAUAUACAUAUAAUCCAUAUUAAACUCAAUUUCCAACGUAUGUCCUAUUUCUGAAAUAUGCCGCACCUGCAUUCUUUAAUAAUUGUAACUUUAUAGUAAACUAAAUAAAACACCCAUUUUAAAUUAUACUUAAUAAAAUACCACAAAUCAAAAUUUGUAGAAUAUCAAAUUCGUAAUAUUCAUUAGUGAAACUAUAUGUAGUGCUGGGAUGAUUUUUAAGCAACUAAAUCGAUCGACACAUAGGUUCAUUUGUCGGCACCACGGCGGAGCAAGUAGAUGAAAUGUUUGAUUUCAAAACACUAAAAAGGGAUGAGCCGCAGUGGCUCCAUCCCUAGAAUAAUGCUUCUGAAAACUGAAUUUGUGAGUUUACUUCCAUGCAAUUCUUUUAUAAGUAAACCACAUUUGGCCAUCCAAAGUGGACAAUGCGUCUAACACAUUUGAAUGAACUACUUCAACAGCGCAAACCGCGAAUGAGUUCCAGCCAAAAUGAGUUAGAUGUAUGGUAUAGCAUUAACGUUAUUUAUCUUCCUAUCAGUUACCAAAAUCCGUCCGAAUAAUAUUUGUUUUAUUCAGCGUUAUGGAUAGAGACCUGUGAGUAACACAUCGGCUUUUAUCCGAUUAUAUAUUUCUUUUAUAGCAUAUAAAAAUUAACAUACCAACAAGAAGGCAUGUUACAAAUACAUGGUAAAUUUGUCGGAAUAUAUCACGGUCGUGCAUAGUUUAGAGAAUAUUAAUCAUGUGAAAGAUAAGUACCACCUUCUUGUGACCAUUUUUGACAUCGUAAUCACAAAUCAAACAAAAAAUCAAGAUUUUGUAUAUUUUUAUUCUAAUGUGUAAAAUUUAUUAAAUAAAAGAUUGGUAUUACAUCAAAUCGACUUGCUUAAAAAAUAGAAAAUGCAUGACUAAUAUAUGACACUGGAUUUAAAUUCAAUACUAUCAAUAUUAUUAACUGAAGUUGAUUGACUACCGGCUAAUUCACGCUGGUUCAUAAUUUUUUAAGAACCUCUGGUUCAGAUGUGACAAGGGUAAGAGUGUGUGGCUUAGACCCAGUGGCGGAGCCAGGAUCAAUUUACACUGGGAUCAAAAUUUAUUAUUAAAUAGGGUCAAAAUAAUUUUUCUUUAACAAAAACAAAAAAAAAAUUAUAAAAUAGUGGGGUCAGCUGACCCCACUCCCCAUACACUCCCUCCGCCCCUGCUUAGACCACUAGACUAAUGACAAAAUAAUCCAACGGUAGUAAAACUCGUAUAAAAAGACACAUCAAGGACACAACAUGAAUUACCAUAAUUAUUUUCUUAAGAAUAUAUGAUCAACGUUUGACGUAUGAACGCAACAUAGAUACAAUCAUUCUGUUAUAACAUACCAAAACGUUAGAGGGUCAGAUAAUUGCAUAUAUAUUGAAAUUAAUUACCAGAAUAUACUUGUGGAAGAAAAGUUAUUAGUAUAUACUUUAUAACAAUAUUUCCGAAAUUAACAUCCAAAUUAUUAAUUGACAUCUACAUUUAACAUGUAUACUCAUGAUAGUUUUUUUUUGGUAAAAUACUCGUGAUAGUUAACAUACGAAUUCUGAUCCAAAACGAAUAUUUUAAGUGGAGGUGUACGAGUUGCCAAAUAAAACAAAAAUGUUCUGAUGGAGAAAGAAGGCACUAUACCAUAGUUGAUCUUGAGGGGGGAAUUCAAACAUAAAAUAUCAUUUUUAACUUUUAAUUAAUGUUAAUUUAAAUUUGUAAUUUUUAUAAGAAAAAAGUUUUACUGCUAUCUUUUAGUAUUUCUAUUUAGUUUACCGUCUAAGAUUUUUUUUUUGUUUUCUACCGUCCAAGAUUUUGGCGGGUAAAAAGUAAAAGAAAAAUCAAAAAUAGCUAAAGAGAAAGACUCACGGCGAGGAGAAGACCGAUCUCUACGGAGGCAAACAGGACACCUAAGAAGGCGGCCACAAGGACGAGAAAAUCAAGCUUAUCAAGCUUCCAAAUGUGCAAAGCGCCAGAAAUAUCGAUAAGGCCAGGAAGCGCCGAGAGAAUGAUGGAGGCCAGUAUUGCGGUCGGUGUAAAAUAGAGAAACCUUGUCAAAACUUCAAGCGAAACCAUCACUGUUAUCGCCAUUACAAUGUUUGAUACCACCGUCUCGCAGCCAGCACUAAAAUUCACCGCCGUUCUUGAAAAUGAUCCUAUUAGAAAGUCCACAUGGGAAGUGGAAGAUAAAUAGAUGAACCAAUAUGCUUAAUAUGAGUUACAAUUCUUGAUUCGACAGUUUUAAAAUAUCACAUCGGUCAAUUCCGGUUUUGGUUUGAAUUAAUAAACCGGGGUUAAUUUAAAAAAGAACAUUUUACCGGUAGCUACAUAGCAAGAAGUUAAAGAGCCAGCGAUGUUGCUAAACCCCAUUGCCAUCAUCUCUUUGUUACCAUCUAGACGAUAUCCUUUGAUCGUUGCAAAAGAUCUCCCUACUGCAAUCGCCUCCUGUAUUAUUACAUUUAAUUUAAUCAAUUAGUUAAAUUAGGUGAUUAGUCUGAACCAUGUGUCAGAGAGAAGAGAUGGGAAUAUUACUAACCGUGAGAGCGAUGAUUGCACAAAUGAUACCAAUUUUGGCGACUUGACCGAGAUGUGGACCGUUAAAUUCCAAUUGGUUAACCGAAGGUCGGUUAAACCCUGGUUUAAUGGUUUUAACAAUCUUAACCCCUCGUGUGUCAGCAUUGGUUAAAUACACGAUUAGGGUUGCUAAUAUCACUGAUAUUAGCGGUGCCAUCGCUGGAAUCCAGAACAACUUUUUGUUUCUUUUUCCCUGAAUUAAUUUAUAAAAAAAAUCAAUAAAAAUAAAUUAAAUAUAACUAUUGUCAUAUGUUGAUAUUAAUGUAGUAAAUUUUGUUUUACUUACAAGAAAUCUCGCUAGGAGGAUGAAGAUAAGGAAUGAACUACCAAUGACAAAGUUCAAAGGUUGCCACUGCAAAAGUAAUUAAUAGUUGAAAUAGAUUCUAUAUUUGUGACUUUUAAUUUAGCCCAACUACCGGUACGUACCGGAUGAUGAAGUGAGUGGAAAACCGAAGAUAAAACCGAAAUCACAUCGGUUUUGUUGGUAAAGUGAGACAAACCAAAUAAACCUUUCAGUUGUUGUAAACCAAUGACAAUGGCAGCACCAGCCAUGAACCCAACAAGAGCAGCAUGUGACAGAAAAUCCACCAAAAACCCUAACCUGAUACACAUUUAGAAUAACAUUUAUUUUGAUCAGUUGACUACACUUUUGUCUUCGCGGGUCCACAUACAAUUAGAAUAACUGUAGCACCGUAUAAAUUAUAUGAUUUUAUAAUGAGUAUCUAUGAAAUAUUUGCCUGAAGAGUCCAAAGAUGGCUUGAAACGCGCCAGCAAAAAAUGUGGCCGUGAAGACAAUUUUUCGGUAAGCAAUUGGGUCGGUGACAGGAUCUUGAAGGUCACGGACCAUGGACGAAAGCAGAAGCGAAACUACAGCCACAGGACCAAUGGCUAACUCUCUCGAACUUCCCAUCAUGGAAUAUAUUAGAGGUGGUACCACACUUGUAU
rnacentral:lncRNA from 1 species